CUCCACAAGGUGGCAAUGUAACACCACGCAUCCCACCAUUUCCGCUGGCACAUGACUCCUGGUUGAAGUUUCCCUCAUCCCAAGAGUGGUGGUGGCCGUGGUUCUGUGCACCCAUUGUGGACAUGAAGAUUUUCCGUGAUGGAAGACAACACAAGCAACAUCCUGUGGCUGUAGCACAGCACACUUCUGCCUGUUUCCAGGCUAAUAUCACUACACCUCCAUCAUCUGUGAAGCACAAAAACAGGACCAGAUGCACAAAAAAAGGACCAGAGCCCUAUGUGGGGAUGGGCUGAGGAAACAGCCUACCCAUCCACAAACACAGCCAUCUCUGCCUGAAGAUGUGGCCCUAGGACAAGAUGUAACCAGGCCAAAAACCCACUUGGGCAAGAUUCAAACAAACAUCCAGGCCAGCAGCUUCAAGGGCUCUCACUCAGAAGCAAUCAGUCAGAAAUCUCUUGGUGGCACCGACAUCAAAGGUUUUCCCCUCUGAAAAACCCACCGAAGACCAAGAACCCCAGUUCACACAAUGCUUUUGGCAUCAGUGGACUCCUCCUUACCACACAUCGAGCAACUCUGCAGCAGCAUGGCAGCUCUGCAUCCUGGCACAAUCAAGUGUGAAGGUGUAGGGACAUCAAGAAAAGCAAGCUGCAUGUUCCUCCCCCUUGGCUCGCCUCUCCUAGCACUGCGAGACACAGAAGUUGAAAGUUAAGCUUUUGAGUUACCAGCAAUUUCCACUUUGGUGCAUUAUUGCCUUUGCUGCAGUGCUUUUAUAAGGCUGUUUAUAAGACAAUAGACAAUGGGAGAAGUUGCUGGGGUUCCCAGUAGACAUAUGUUGACAAUAAACCCCUGUAACAGAGGUCA
rnacentral:lncRNA from 1 species